AGAUUUCCUUUGGCCAAUCAUUUUGCUUUGCCUGGUUCAGAGUCCCUAUUUGGUUUAUCUCAGGACCCUCCCACGUGUGCACACGCAUUUCUUACCAAGAUGGAUUCCACUCAAGAGGCCUGUGAGUAGUUAGCAUCACUUACUAUGGGGUGGCGCCCCCUCCUUUUUUGACCUCCGAGGAGCCUGUCUGUGCAUGUGUAGUGGAGAAGGUCUCCUGACUUUGAGAAUGAGGCACACGUGGUCUCUUACUGCCUGUCUGGGCAGGGCCCCGCCUCCUCCCUCAAUUGUCCUACUAUUUUAGUCUCAGAGUAUCGGUCCACAGAGAACCAGUGCCAACUGUUUGCUCCGGGGCCCAUCUGUCUCCUGCCUCAGGAUGACUGGCAAGCAGUCCCCUGUUGACACAGUGUAGUGAUGAUUUCACCCCAGUGAUUCUGGUUCCUCUCUAGAAAUAGCUCCUCACUGAAGCCACAGAGAAAAUCCAAAUUUCCCAGGAAAAUAAGACGGAGGAAUUGGGGAUUAGGAAACAUAUCACUCACGCCCUGAGCUCCCAGGGCAGCAACAGAGCUACAGCAGCAUUCAUCUGGGGCCACAGGGUCCCUGGGCAGAUGCAGGCUGUCCCUUCCCGGCCUUCAUCUGGGCCCCUGCAGGGGGGACCCUUGCGCUAGGAGGGUCAAGCGGAGCAGAGCUUCCUCAGUGCAACCUCAAAAGUCGAACUACUCAAUUCGGCCCUGCCCUGGAGCUCCAGUGGAGAUGUUGAAUGCAAAUGAGGAUCAGCAUGUGUAUGAUGAUUCAGAGCAGUUGUAACAGUUGACACCUUGUGGCUUUGUCCUGAGGUCAGGGUCUAUGUCAUGACACUGCUGUGCUGAUCAGAGCCCAGGACAGUGCCAAGUACUUAAAGACUUCUACCAAAGUGUGUGGAUAGAACAAAUAAAUCGAUGAAUGAUCAAAAAAAGUAAGAGAAUUCUUCUUGGGAAAAAGCGGCAACCUCCCCGAAGGCCUGGGGAACAGGAGGUGACUCUGACCAACCACUGGAGAAGGGAAUGGCAAACCACUUUAGUAUUCUUGCCUUGAGAACCCCAUGAACAGUAUGAAAAGGCAAAAAGAUAUGACACUGAAAGAUAAACUCCCUAGGUCAGGAGGUGCCCAAUAUGCUACAGGAGAAGAGUGAAGAAAUAGCUCCAGAAAGAAUGAAGAGAUGGAGCCAAAGUGGAAAAAACACCCCGUGCUGUAUGUGACUGGUGAUGGAAGUAAACGCCGAUGCUGUAAAGAACAACACUGCACAGGAACCUGGACUAUUAGGUCCGUGAAUCAAGGCAAAUUGGAAGUGGUCAGACAAGAUGGCAAGAGUGAACAUCAACAUUUUAGGAAUCAGUGAAUUAAAUGGACUGGAAGGGGUGGAUUUAAUUCAGGUGACCAUUAUGUCUACUACUGUGGGCAAGAAUCCCUUAGAAGACAUGGAGUAGCCAUCAUAGUCAACAAAAGAGUGUGAAAUGCAGUAC
ensembl:lncRNA